UACGUAGGGUGCAAGCGUUAAUCGGAAUUACUGGGCGUAAAGCGUGCGCAGGCGGUUUUGUAAGUCUGUCGUGAAAUCCCCGGGCUUAACCUGGGAAGUUGCGAUGGAGACUGCAAGGCUUGAAUCUGGCAGAGGGGGGUAGAAUUCCACGUGUAGCAGUGAAAUGCGUAGAGAUGUGGAGGAACACCGAUGGCGAAGGCAGCCCCCCUGGGUCAAGAUUGACGCUCAUGCACGAAAGCGUGGGGAGCAAACAGG
rnacentral:rRNA from 1 species